AGCUCCAAUAGCGUAUAUUUAAGUUGUUGCAGUUAAAAAGCUCGUAGUUGGAUUUUGGGUUGGGGCGACCGGUCCGCCGUUUCGGUGUGCACUGGUUGCCACUUCCUUUCUGCCGGGGACGCGCUCCUGGGCUUGAUUGUCUGGGACGUGGAGUCGGCGUUGUUACUUUGAAAAAAUUAGAGUGUUCAAAGCAAGCCAUCGCUCUGAAUACAUUAGCAUGGAAUAACAGUAUAGGACUCUGGUCUUAUUCUGUUGGUUUUCGAGACCGGAGUAAUGAUUAAGAGGGACAGUCGGGGGCAUCCGUAUUUCAUUGUCAGAGGUGAAAUUCUUGGAUUUAUGAAAGACGAACUUCUGCGAAAGCAUUUGCCAAGGAUGUUUUCAUUAAUCAAGAACGAAAGUA
rnacentral:rRNA from 1 species